GUGUGGAGCGUACGACACGGUGGCUGCAUGGCGUGUCGUCAGCUCGUGUCGUGAGAUGUUGGGUUAAGUCCCGCCAACGAGCGCAACCCCUGCAUUCAGUUGCCAACGGUAAGGCCGGGCACUCUGGAUGGACUGCCGGCGACAAGCCGGAGGAAGGUGGGGAUGACGUCAAGUCAUCAUGGCCCUUAUGUCCAGGGCGACACACGUGCUACAAUGGCCGGCACAGCGGGAAGCGAGGGGGCGACCUUGAGCGGAUCCCUCAAAGCCGGUCUCAGUUCGGAUUGCAGUCUGCAACUCGACUGCAUGAAGUUGGAAUCGCUAGUAAUCGUGGAUCAGCCAAGCCGCGGUGAAUACGUUCCCGGGCCUU
rnacentral:rRNA from 1 species